UGAGCGGCGGCACGGACAGAGCGGAGGCCUGGCUAUACCUGCUGGAAUGGAUAAAGUGAGCUUUAAAAGUUGAUCAGACUGAAGAGAUUGAAGUGAGAGAACCACAGGAACAAAGAAGGGGAAACUGAAGCAGAAAGAGGUUACUUAAUGGGCUCAAGGUCACCUACCUGACCUACCAGCAGCUCAAUGGCCUUCCCAAAGAAGAAACUUCAGGGUCUUGUGGCUGCAACCAUCACGCCAAUGACUGAGGAUGGAGAAAUCAACUUUUCAGUAAUUGGUCAGUAUGUGGAUUAUCUUGUGAAAGAACAGGGAGUGAAGAACAUUUUUGUGAAUGGCACAACGGGAGAAGGCCUGUCCCUGAGCGUCUCAGAGCGUCGCCAGGUCGCAGAGGAGUGGGUGACAAAAGGGAAGGACAAGCUGGAUCAGGUGAUAAUUCACGUAGGAGCACUGAGCUUGAAGGAGUCACAGGAACUGGCCCAACAUGCAGCAGAAAUAGGAGCUGAUGGCAUCGCUGUCAUUGCACCAUUCUUCCUCAAGCCAUGGACCAAAGAUAUCCUGAUUAAUUUCCUAAAGGAAGUGGCUGC
rnacentral:sRNA from 1 species